UCAUUUCAAGCUAUUCGCUCACAGUUGUAACUACUUUGACUGCACAGUUUAAAACCUUUCAAGAUCAGGAGUAAUUUAAAAUGAAUCAAACCAGGACAUUAACUUGAGCAGAAAACACACAUAAUAAACAAAGUGUUACCUAGACUAAUUCAGUUUGCUAGGUGACCAGUUUCUUUACACUGCUCUGUAGGGUUGCCACCCGUCCCUUAAAAUACGGAAACGUCCUUUAUUUGACAAUUAAUUGUUGCGUCCCGUAUUGAAUCAAUACGGGACGCAAGUUGUUCCGUAUUUUCAUAAAUGCCCCGUACACGUCUGUCACACACUCAUCAAAACUGCAUAAUGAAUAAAAUAAAACACAGGAAAUAUUAAGGGCAGCCAAUUUCAUCUUCGUAGGACCUUUGUAGCGAGGACCCGAUGCCAGGUCCAGUGGACAGACUUCAGACGUCUCUGUGUGUCCGGUCCUGUCUCUGGUUGCCAGGUUACAGACGCUGCUGCACCCGCACGUUUAAAAAUGUCUACACCUGAAACUCCACCACGUCUAAAGAAGCAAAAACGUUUGCAAAUGUACAGACUGGAGUGGGAAGAGUGGAACCCCUGGCAAUGGAUACAAGGCAAACUGUGUUUUCUGUUGCUCAUGGACUGGCUGAAGUAAGGCAGCAUCAGGAGACAAACAUGGAGGAAAUAUGAGAACAGAGAGAACCCAACCAGCAGGUCACAGUUUAUCAUCAUCUAAUCAUCUCCUGAAGUCCAUAUGGUCCCUCUCUAUCUCCCCACACAUCCACCAACCACUGGAACACAUCUCCAAAGUUCUGCUGGACCAGCUCAGCUUCCCCUCAGAAGAAGUGCUGCCACCUGCCAGAUGAAGGAGCCUUUUGAGAGGCAGCUGGCAUCGUGAUUGGACUGUACUUUGGUCUGUUCCAAUCCAGCUUCAGCUCCAGAGACGGCAGGCGGGACGAGUCAACGGAGGCCUGGUGGACGAAGGCAUGCAGCUGAGUACAAUCCAGAAAACAACAGAGGAGGAGUGCAGCAGCCCAGAGCCAGAACAAACAGAGUAGCAUCGUAUGUCUCUUAGAAAACAUCAUAGUAUAGCCUUUGGUAUGAAAAAACGCCAUCAUAUACAUCGUAUAUUGUACAAAUAACAAGUCAAAGGAAAGAGACAUACAUUGUAGAAUUGUAGUAAUUGUGGGCUGACUGAUUUACUGAUUAUCAGUAUUUUAUUUUUUACUGAUUUACGGUAAUAAAUACAUUUAAAAAUGGC